UUCGGUGGUCAUUGCGUUAGGGAAACGCCCGGUUACAUUCCGAACCCGGAAGCUAAGCCUUUCAGCGCCG
rnacentral:rRNA from 1 species